UCUCUCUCUCUCUCUCUCUCUCUCUCUCUUUCACGCAUAUUCUUCUACCUAUCUACUUGUCUCUUUCUCUCUUUUUCUCUUUUUCUCUCUCACUUCUUCUUCCGCAUACACGCAUGUAAUAGUAGAAAGUUACAAUAGAAAAGAAAGAGAGAAAAGGGGAGAGAGAGAGAGAGAGAGAGAGAGAGAGGGAGAAAGAGAAAGAGAAAAAAGGCAGUGACGGAUAAAAUUGGCGCCCUUUAAGGGUGAACCAUAUCUUCUCUUUCUCUAGGAUGGAAAAUUCACUGGUUUUCCGUUGAAUGCUACGACACUGUGCUACUACAGCGUCGGUGGUAGAGAGAGAGAGAAUCGUUUCGUCAGUCGGGUCUCGGCCGUCGUCAACGUCAAUACGACGGCGGCGCACGAGCUGCUUAUCGUUGUCUUUGUCAUCGUCCUUAUCCUCGUCAUUGUCGGCCUCAUCGUCGUCGUCGUCAUCGUCGUCGUCGUCGUUGUCGUCGUUGUCGUAGUUAUUGUCAUUGUUGUUCAUCUUGUUCUCCUCGUCGUCAUCAUCGUUAUCGUUGUCGUUGCCGUCGUCGUUAUCAUCGUCGUCGUCGGCGUUGCCGGCGGUUGGAAAGUGAAAGAGGAAAGAAUAGUUUUCCCGCGUGGAAGAAAAAGGAAAAGUGGGGAGACGUGAGAAUAUAACCCUUUUAUUUCUUCCCUUCCCUCCCUCCCUCCCUCCCUCUCUCCCUUCCUUCCUUCCUUUCUUCUUUCCUUCUUACCUUCUUUUCUUCCUUCUUUCCUUUCUUUCUUUCUUUCUUUCUUUCUUUCUUUCUUUUUUUCUUUUCAUUCGGAACUUGUGUGUGGGUGCAUUUCGUCGCGAUUCCUUUUUCUCUUCUUCUUCUUCUUCUUCUUCUACUUCUUCUUCUUCUUCUUCUUCGUUGUCAAAUUUUCAAUCAAGAAAAUGAUUAGAGAAAGAAAGUGGAGAGAGAGAGAGAGAGAAAGAGAGAGAGAGAGAAUGUGGGUGAUUUGGAAUUUUCUUGACUAAAGUGCGAAAUAUCAGUCAACAACGAUGAGAAGAAAUGAAAGACAGAUGUCGGAAAAACGUGUUACCAUCGCGGCUUCUCGCGUCUCAAUUCGUUCUUGUUAUUGACACGUCAUCGUCUUCGUUCUCGUCCUCAUCCACGUCCUCAUCCUUAUUCUUUUUGUCGUCGUCGUCGUCGUCGUCGUCGUCGUUGUCGUCGUCGUCGUUAUCGUUGUAGUCGUCGCGAGUGCAACGAGAAAAUGCGAAACUCUGAAAAACUCGUACGCUCGUGGAAAAAUAUCCUCGAGGAAGAAGAAGAAGAAGAAGAAGAAGAAGAAGAAGAAGAAGAAGAAGAAGAAGAAGAAGAAGAAGAAAAAGAGUCAACGAUAAUAAAUAAGUGACGAGGUUCGUUACUAUACACGUUCAUCGACGAAACGGCCGAAUUCGAACGCGUUAUCGUUCUAUUAUAACGAUUUAAUUUGAUUAAACGCGACGAUGCUUAGAUGUGAGUGCGAACGUCGUAUUGUUCGGAGUAACGUUUUCAUUUAUCGACGGCGAUACAACGUAGCGUGAGAGAUUUUUCGUCGGAUGCUGUACACACCACUGAUUUUUAUCUUCUUGGUGCAAAUAACACGUUGGAUAGAAAAAGAGAGAGGGAGAAAGAGAGAGAAAGAGAAAGAGAAAGAGAAAGAAAAUAGAAUGAAACAAGCAACAUAUGUACGCAUAAGCGAGUAUGCACGCGUUGCACUUCCUUUUCCUACAAUCGACAAUCAUGUUUGUGUUCUAAAUAGUGUCUUCGAUUGGUAAACAAGACAAUAAGUACUAUGAAAUAAAUAGGGGGGAAAAAGGAGGAAAGAGAAAGAUAAUAAGAUACAAAGUACGAAAUCGUUGGAAGUGCAUACAACGAUUCUACGAUUUGAUCGCGAAUAUUUAUCGCAUUUUCACGAAGGAUAAUGUCGACUGUUAUUACGUAGAGAUGGUGAAAACUGAGAGGAGGAGGAGGAAGAGAAGAAGGAAAUGCGUUUGCGAGUUCGUUCGAUAGUUCGAUGCUCGAAUUUAAUCGAAAGCCAGUUCUGUGUUGUUCGAAAGAGUACGAGUAUAAAUUCAAAGCUCUUUAACGGGUGUUCGAUAAAUACUAAGCUGCUCUUGCGAGGAUUGCCACGAAUUUCGUAGGUUGUGUAUUUUUCUCUCUUUUUUUUUUUUUUUCUUUUUUUGACCUUUUUUUUUCGCGCGCGUGAAAGUGCACUCUUGUCGAACAACUGUAACAGCAGCAGCAGUAACAACAAUAACAAUAACAAUAACAGCAACAAGGCAAUAUGUGUUGUAGUGAUGACGCACGAUGACUAUGAUUAAAGUGUUGAAUAAGAUUGAAGUAAGUGAAGAAUCGGCUAUAUUUGAAAGAAUCCGUGAUAUUUGCGUGCACAGGACGUAUCACUGGGUAUUAUCCUGCGUGAGUGAUAUCGGGAUGAGAAGAGAUUUGUGUGAGAGGAACGAGAAUACACGUGAAAGGAUGAAUAGGAAGAUGGAUAGAAAGGUGACACCGAAAGAAACGUUACUACGAUCGAGCGUGCGUUAAAAAUUGGAAAGAAGUUCGAUUGACUUUUAUAGAAAAAGAAGACAAAGAAAAUUGAAGAAGGGUGAGAGAUAGAGGGAGAGAGCCGAUCAAAUUUGAUGCAUACAAUCAAUAUAUAUAAAAGCCUAAAGAAGAAAAAUCGAUCGUUAAGAAUAUAUCGUCAAAAUGAUAGUCUCUUGUGUCAAAAUGAUAACCUGUGGAAUUGUUCGUUUAAGAUGAUCGACGAAAGGAGAUUAAAAGCGGUCGCAUAAAAGCGUAGAUUUAAUAAUAAGCAUUUUAAUCGUAUGCCAACUUUUUUUUUUCUCGUAUUCUCCGAAAGAAGACGAACUUGCGAUAUCGGAGUUUACAAAGAGUUAUGAAUGUGUUGGUAGUGGUGGUGAUGAUAGUGCGCUCCGUUAUAUAUUACAACUUAUAUAUUUCGCCUGUUCAACGCACAAAGAGCGAACGUAGUGCGAGAUAAUAGAGCUCGUAAAGUGAAUCCACGGCCAAAAAGCAUUUGCUCCUACUUGGAGAUAUAA